GAUGUUAGCGGCGGACGGGUGAGUAACACGUGGGUAACCUGCCUGUAAGACUGGGAUAACUCCGGGAAACCGGGGCUAAUACCGGAUGCUUGUUUGAACCGCAUGGUUCAAACAUAAAAGGUGGCUUCGGCUACCACUUACAGAUGGACCCGCGGCGCAUUAGCUAGUUGGUGAGGUAAUGGCUCACCAAGGCAACGAUGCGUAGCCGACCUGAGAGGGUGAUCGGCCACACUGGGACUGAGACACGGCCCAGACUCCUACGGGAGGCAGCAGUAGGGAAUCUUCCGCAAUGGACGAAAGUCUGACGGAGCAACGCCGCGUGAGUGAUGAAGGUUUUCGGAUCGUAAAGCUCUGUUGUUAGGGAAGAACAAGUACCGUUCGAAUAGGGCGGUACCUUGACGGUACCUAACCAGAAAGCCACGGCUAACUACGUGCCAGCAGCCGCGGUAAUACGUAGGUGGCAAGCGUUGUCCGGAAUUAUUGGGCGUAAAGGGCUCGCAGGCGGUUUCUUAAGUCUGAUGUGAAAGCCCCCGGCUCAACCGGGGAGGGUCAUUGGAAACUGGGGAACUUGAGUGCAGAAGAGGAGAGUGGAAUUCCACGUGUAGCGGUGAAAUGCGUAGAGAUGUGGAGGAACACCAGUGGCGAAGGCGACUCUCUGGUCUGUAACUGACGCUGAGGAGCGAAAGCGUGGGGAGCGAACAGGAUUAGAUACCCUGGUAGUCCACGCCGUAAACGAUGAGUGCUAAGUGUUAGGGGGUUUCCGCCCCUUAGUGCUGCAGCUAACGCAUUAAGCACUCCGCCUGGGGAGUACGGUCGCAAGACUGAAACUCAAAGGAAUUGACGGGGGCCCGCACAAGCGGUGGAGCAUGUGGUUUAAUUCGAAGCAACGCGAAGAACCUUACCAGGUCUUGACAUCCUCUGACAAUCCUAGAGAUAGGACGUCCCCUUCGGGGGCAGAGUGACAGGUGGUGCAUGGUUGUCGUCAGCUCGUGUCGUGAGAUGUUGGGUUAAGUCCCGCAACGAGCGCAACCCUUGAUCUUAGUUGCCAGCAUUCAGUUGGGCACUCUAAGGUGACUGCCGGUGACAAACCGGAGGAAGGUGGGGAUGACGUCAAAUCAUCAUGCCCCUUAUGACCUGGGCUACACACGUGCUACAAUGGACAGAACAAAGGGCAGCGAAACCGCGAGGUUAAGCCAAUCCCACAAAUCUGUUCUCAGUUCGGAUCGCAGUCUGCAACUCGACUGCGUGAAGCUGGAAUCGCUAGUAAUCGCGGAUCAGC
rnacentral:rRNA from 1 species